rnacentral:rRNA from 1 species
CAAUAGCGUAUAUUAAAGUUGUUGCAGUUAAAAAGCUCGUAGUUGGAUUUCUGGUGGGAGCGAUCGGUCUGGCGCUUAGCGCGAGUACUUGCAUCGUCUCCGGCCAUCCUUGGGGAGAGUCUGUCUGGCAUUAAGUUGUCGGGCAGAGGAUCCUCAUCGUUUACUGUGAAAAAAUUAGAGUGUUCAAAGCAGGCUUACGCCGUUGAAUAUAUUAGCAUGGAAUAAUAAGAUAGGACUUUGGUACUAUUUUGUUGGUUUGCGCACCAAAGUAAUGAUUAAUAGGGACAGUUGGGGGUAUUCGUAUUCCGUUGUCAGAGGUGAAAUUCUUGGAUUUACGGAAGACGAACUACUGCGAAAGCAUUUACCAAGGAUGUUUUCAUUA